rnacentral:rRNA from 1 species
GACGAACGCUGGCGGCGUGCUUAACACAUGCAAGUCGAACGGUAAGGCCUUGCUUUUGUGGUGUGUUCGUGUCGCACACGGGUGUGUAACAUGAGUGUCCUCUCUCCAACACUUUGGUAUGCCUUCAGAACACUGUGUCAUACACCGGACAGCCGCUCUCCCUGCGUGGUGGGGGUUGGAAAGUUUUUGUGGUUGGGGAUGGGCUCGCGGCUUAUCAGCUUGUUGGUGGGGUAGUGGCUGACCAAGGCGACGACGGGUAGCCGGCCUGAGAGGGUGACCGGCCACACUGGGACUGAGACACGGCCCAGACUCCUACGGGAGGCAGCAGUGGGGAAUAUUGCACAAUGGGCGCAAGCCUGAUGCAGCAACGCCGCGUGAGGGAUGACGGCCUUCGGGUUGUAAACCGCUGUCGGCAGGGAAGAAGAGAAAUUGACGGUACCGGGAGAGGAAGCGCCGGCUAACUACGUG